rnacentral:rRNA from 1 species
CUGGUUGAUCCUGCCGGAGGUCACUGCUAUUGGGAUCCGACUAAGCCAUGCGAGUCGAGAGGGUUCGGCCCUCGGCGUACUGCUCAGUAACACGUGGAUAAUCUGACCUUAGGUGGAGCAUAACCUCGGGAAACUGAGAAUAAUACUCCAUAGAUCUUUGAGGGUGGAAUGCGCUUAGAUUAAAAGCUCCGGCGCCUAAGGAUGAGUCUGCGGACUAUCAGGUUGUAGUCAGGGUAAUGACCUGACUAGCCUACGACGGAUACGGGUUGUGAGAGCAAUAACCCGGAGAUGAUAUCUGAGACACGAUAUCAGGGCCUACGGGGCGCAGCAGGCGCGAAACCUUCACAAUGUGCGAAAGCGCGAUGAGGGGAUCCCAAGUGCUUGCACGUAAGUGUAAGCUGGUUCUUUGGUUAAAAAGCAGAGAGAGUAAGGGCUGGGUAAGACGGGUGCCAGCCGCCGCGGUAAUACCUGCAGCUCAAGUGGUGGGCGCUAUUAUUGGGCCUAAAACGUCCGUAGCCUGGUGGGUAAAUGGCUGGGUAAAUCGUGGCGCUUAACGAUACGAAUUCCGGGUAGACUGGCUAGCUUGAGACCGGGAAAAGUUAGAGGUACUCCUGGGGGGUAGGGGUGAAAUCCUGUAGUCCUGGGGGGGACACCAGGGGGAAGGGCGUUAACUAGGAGGGGUCUGACGGGGAGGGACG